GUUCGAUUCAACUUCCUCUCUGUAGUGUGGUUCACUUAUUUCGUUCCAAGCAAGAGGCUCUUGGAUCCUGGGCAAUUAGUUCACAACAGUCUUCGGUGAAUUUGCCACAGUCUUCGUCGAGCUCGACAGCAGCACACGGUGGUACACAACAACGGUGAUAGUGACGACAACCGAGUGGUAGAAGAGGAGAAUCAUCGGCGAGGGAGGCGUUUUUCCUGUGUGAGUGUGACUUUACUGAUCAUUGAUAUAAAUAAGAAAGACUAAUGGCACAUUCAUCAAGCUUGAUCGCUAUGGGCCUCAAUUUUGGUCCACUUCCUAAAACCAAAGUCAGUGUUUCUGGAAGUUUUGUACGCAGAUCUUCAGCAGGACUUCGCAUUAGGGCGGUGCAAGAAAAUGGUGGACCACGAAGGCUGGUGGACAUCAUAAGACGUGUGCCUGAGUUCUCAAGAAAUUACUUCAAAAGUCCUUCUCGCAGGGCUCUGUUUGGAGGAAUCUCCUUGUUGGGUGGAUUCUAUGUUGCACAAACAAUCUCACUGUCUUUUGGAGCUCUAGGAGUUAAUGAUGUUAUUGCUGCAGUGUUAUGUGUUCUUCUUACAGAAUAUGUGACUAAAUUCUAUUACAGCCGACCAAAAGUUACUUUCCCAGUUGCUCUUCUCAACAACUUUAAAAUGGGUUUCACCUAUGGACUAUUCAUUGAUGCCUUUAAACUUGCCAGUUGAUCUUCAACAUCAAUUCAGCCACUAAGCUUGUACGUGUACGUGUCAGAACUGGUCACCACAUAAAAUGCAACAUGUCAUGAUACGUUGUACCUGGUCACACUCCAAGUUUACUACCCUGCCAUUCUAUGGAAAAUCUACAUUCCUGGCUCUAUUAUGUUGCUGAAAUAGUUGCAAAGUAGUAGUUAUUGAGGCACUUAUAGCAAAAAACCAAAAUUGUGACAAUACUAAUCCAUAAACGUAGAUAGUGGAGAUGUUUGGUCAUCAAACCCAUCAAAGUCUGAGACAAAAAACAAACUGUUUGAUUUUAUGGGCAUGAUGUUUCUGGUUUGUUGAUAUCAUCUUUGUGAAUGUUAGGUGAGGGUGUUAAAGUUCUGGAUAUUUAGUCCUUAUCAAUGUCUUCCGAGGAAUCUUCUAAACUCGGUGUCCCAAAACAAAUUCAGUUGACUAUAUUCAUUGCUUUGGGAAAAGAGGCUAAAUAAUUUAGAAGAAUAUGUAUAUAGUGAAGGUAACUCGUAGGGUAUUAUUCUUUUUUGUUGGAUAUUUGUAUACUUCCACUU